rnacentral:rRNA from 1 species
AGUGAACGCUGGCGGUAGGCCUAACACAUGCAAGUCGAACGGCAGCACAGUAAGAGCUUGCUCUUACGGGUGGCGAGUGGCGGACGGGUGAGGAAUACAUCGGAAUCUACUUUUUCGUGGGGGAUAACGUAGGGAAACUUACGCUAAUACCGCAUACGACCUACGGGUGAAAGCAGGGGAUCUUCGGACCUUGCGCGAUUGAAUGAGCCGAUGUCGGAUUAGCUAGUUGGCGGGGUAAAGGCCCACCAAGGCGACGAUCCGUAGCUGGUCUGAGAGGAUGAUAAGCCACACUGGAACUGAGACACGGUCCAGACUCCUACGGGAGGCAGCAGUGGGGAAUAUUGGACAAUGGGCGCAAGCCUGAUACAGCCAUACCGCGUGGGUGAAGAAGGCCUUCGGGUUGUAAAGCCCUUUUGUUGGGAAAGAAAAGCAGCAGGUUAAUACCCCGCUGUUCUGACGGUACCCAAAGAAUAAGCACCGGCUAACCUCGUG